UACGUAGGGGGCAAGCGUUUGUCCGGAUUUAUUGGGCGUAAAGAGCGUGUAGGCGGCCAGGUAGGUCCGUUGUGAAAACUCGAGGCUCAACCUCGAGACGUCGGCGGAAACCCUCUGGCUAGAGUCCGGAAGAGGAGAGUGGAAUUCCUGGUGUAGCGGUGAAAUGCGCAGAUAUCAGGAAGAACACCCGUGGCGAAGGCGGCUCUCUGGGACGGUACUGACGCUGAGACGCGAAAGCGUGGGAAGCAAACAGG
rnacentral:rRNA from 1 species